AGUAACGCGUGGGUAACCUGCCUUAUACAGGGGGAUAACAGUCAGAAAUGGCUGCUAAUACCGCAUAAGCGCACAGAGCUGCAUGGCUCAGUGUGAAAAACUCCGGUGGUAUAAGAUGGACCCGCGUUGGAUUAGCUGGUUGGUGGGGUAACGGCCCACCAAGGCGACGAUCCAUAGCCGGCCUGAGAGGGUGACCGGCCACACUGGGACUGAGACACGGCCCAG
rnacentral:rRNA from 1 species